rnacentral:hammerhead_ribozyme from 1 species
AUCCAGCUGAUGACUCCCAAAUAGGACGAAAUGUUCAUCCUGGAU